GCAUUAAUGGGGUAGUGGUAACCUGGGUCGUUGCCAUUCUUUAAGCUGGUUUGUUUCGACCCACCGGGGGUUCGAUUCCCCCUUAAUGCA
rfam:Gymnopus luxurians FD-317 M1 unplaced genomic scaffold GYMLTscaffold_120, whole genome shotgun sequence.